CGCCAACACAUCACCAACUACAUCCUUGUUCACUAGCAACAUGCCACACAUCACCAAGCAGCAACAUCACCAAAACUAAACAUAGCAUGCCUCUUGUUCACAUCUACAUUUCCACCUACAAAUAGUAAAGAGGAAACAACCACAGAUGGUUACACAGACGAACAACAAAAUAGAACAAUUGUCAACCCCAAAUCCUACGCUAAUUAUAGGUGCAAUCCCACACGCCAAUAUCAAUUAAGUACCAAAUUUCAUUACCAAAUUCUUGAUCACAAAGGUUCACAACAGAGCAAUCACUACUAAAGUAAUUGACAUAAAUCAUAAAAACACAUAUGUUGAGAUGCUUCACGUGCUACAUGGUCAACCACAAUAAUCAAAGCUACAUUUCCAUCCAUCCUACCUAUUUCUCUCUGGAACAAUCAUGAAUUCAGAUCAAUAAACUUCAAGUUAGCAAAAACAAAGAAACAAGUAGACAAAGCAAAGUUGAAGGAGUAUACCUAUCAAAAUGAAUCAAAGUAGGCCCUAGCCGCAUAAUUUCUUCCAAAUCUGAUCUGUCCGUGACUGUCUUCAAUAUUCUGCAUGUACUAAGAAAGUAAGAGUUGAAUCUCUUAGCUGAUAUCCUUCACUACAUAAAACAAGAAUAAGCAAAACCUUAAAAACUUGCACAACAACAUGAGCUUGAACUUACACAAAAAUUCAUCACUUCUUCGCACGAUGAUAUCCACAAUGACUGUCCUGAACAAGACCAUCUUCAUAUUCAAUAGAGGCACCACCAAAUAGAAGAGACACUGAGACAACCCACCACAAACAUAAAUAUUAGACAACCAAUGAAUACUAUCACCAAAUGAGUUGCUUUUACAUAGCCUUCAUAUCUCUCACACUCUUCAUUACCAUAUCAUAAAGGCAUCAAGCAAUAUGAGCAUGUAAGAUGAUUUACCCUCAAGCUUAUCGUCUAUUAACCGAUAUGGAACUACAGACUUGCAGUUAUUGAUAUUUUGAGAAGAAGAGGAUUGGUAGCCACCUAAGCACCCUUUGGCACUUCGACCAGCAUACUUGUCCCAGUUCGAGAAACAC
rnacentral:lncRNA from 1 species